CGAACGGGUGAGGAACACGUGAAGAAUCUGCCUUCAACUCUGGGAUAACUCCGGGAAACCGGGGCUAAUACCGGAUAUGAGCCUUGGCCGCAUGGCCGGGGCUGGAAAGUUUUUCGGUUGAAGAUGACUUCGCGGCCUAUCAGCUUGUUGGUGAGGUAACGGCUCACCAAGGCGACGACGGGUAGCCGGCCUGAGAGGGCGACCGGCCACACUGGGACUGAGACACGGCCCAGACUCCUACGGGAGGCAGCAGUGGGGAAUAUUGGGCAAUGGAGGAAACUCUGACCCAGCGACGCCGCGUGAGGGAUGAAGGCCUUCGGGUUGUAAACCUCUUUCAGUAGGGAAGAAGCGAAAGUGACGGUACCUACAGAAGAAGCACCGGCUAACUAUGUGCCAGCAGCCGCGGUAAUACAUAGGGUGCAAGCGUUGUCCGGAAUUAUUGGGCGUAAAGAGCUCGUAGGUGGUUCGAUACGUCGGAUGUGAAAAUCAGGGGCUCAACCCCUGACCUGCAUUCGAUACGGUCGAGCUAGAGUUUGGUAGGGGAGACUGGAAUUCCUGGUGUAGCGGUGGAAUGCGCAGAUAUCAGGAGGAACACCGAUGGCGAAGGCAGGUCUCUGGGCCAAUACUGACACUGAGGAGCGAAAGCGUGGGGAGCGAACAGGAUUAGAUACCCUGGUAGUCCACGCCGUAAACGAUGGGCGCUAGUUGUGCGAACCUUCCACGGUUUGUGCGACGCAGCUAACGCAUUAAGCGCCCCGCCUGGGGAGUACGAUCGCAAGAUUAAAACUCAAAGGAAUUGACGGGGCCCCGCACAAGCAGCGGAGCAUGCGGCUUAAUUCGACGCAACGCGAAGAACCUUACCAAGGCUUGACAUAUACAGGAAUACGGCAGAGAUGUCGUAGCCGCAAGGUCUGUAUACAGGUGGUGCAUGGUUGUCGUCAGCUCGCGUCGUGAGAUGUUGGGUUAAGUCCCGCAACGAGCGCCACCCUCGUUCUGUGUUGCCCGCAUU
rnacentral:rRNA from 1 species